CACUCCUACGGGAGGCAGCAGUGGGGAAUUUUGGACAAUGGGCGAAAGCCUGAUCCAGCCAUGCCGCGUGCAGGAUGAAGGCCUUCGGGUUGUAAACUGCUUUUGUACGGAACGAAACGGCCUUUUCUAAUAAAGAGGGCUAAUGACGGUACCGUAAGAAUAAGCACCGGCUAACUACGUGCCAGCAGCCGCGGUAAUACGUAGGGUGCAAGCGUUAAUCGGAAUUACUGGGCGUAAAGCGUGCGCAGGCGGUUAUGUAAGACAGUUGUGAAAUCCCCGGGCUCAACCUGGGAACUGCAUCUGUGACUGCAUAGCUAGAGUACGGUAGAGGGGGAUGGAAUUCCGCGUGUAGCAGUGAAAUGCGUAGAUAUGCGGAGGAACACCGAUGGCGAAGGCAAUCCCCUGGACCUGUACUGACGCUCAUGCACGAAAGCGUGGGGAGCAAACAGGAUUAGAAACCCCAGUAGUCCCAUGAU
rnacentral:rRNA from 1 species